rnacentral:Y_RNA from 1 species
GGUUAGCCCCAGUGCAGUGGUAUUUACAAUUUAAGUGAUGACAAUCAGUUACAGAUUUGUUUUUUCCCCACUCCCACUGCUUCACUUGACUAACCUUUU